rnacentral:lncRNA from 10 species
AAACAGAUGACCCAACGUUGCCUAAGUUAGAACAUGCACCGCUGCUGCCCAGGCUCCAAUAAGGGCAGGGUUGGCGCGUGUGGGCUUCUCUAAAGGGAAACAUGGCCAGUAAUUUUAAAAUCCAUCCCCUCUUCAAUGAUAGCAAAUAUAAAAGCAACGGGCUGCAAGGUACACGUAUGUUUAAUGAAAAAUGGAGGGACGUGGUCACAUUAGAUGAAUCUGUACCUUGGGACCACCACACCGUUAAUAUAUAAGACUGGAUUACAAUUAAAGGAUGAGGAAGCUUUCUCAAAGGGUGCUUUGUAUGUGUUUACUAGUUGUGCAAACCAUGAACCUCGGUAAUGUGGUUAAUAGACCAUGAAAAGGAUGUGGUUUCUGCCCUCGGCUUAAAACAAAGACAGCAAUAAGACUAAAAGUACUUCAGGGCACAUGAGAGCAAAUUUCAAUCAAUACUUAUAGGAGAGGGAAGUUAAUUUUGCCUGAAGAGAAGAUCUGGCCUGCAUUAUGCAUUAAUUAGUAUUAGCUAAAAACUAUGUGGACCUAGCCCUUAUCAUUAAAAUAAAACACUCAAGGGUUUACAAACUAUUGAAAUUUAAGAAAAUGUCUUUGCAAUGAAUGCUACUAAGACUCACUGUUAUUAAGUACAUACAUAUCAAUUCCAUAAACUCAAUGGAAAACAUUUUACUGUGCUUGUAAAAAGAAGUGACUCAUAAACAGGAAUUCUGUCAUUUUAUCACUUUCAUGAUAGAAUGAUGUGUAGAAUUUGUUUUACAAUGCUCCAGAAAUAAAAUGUAGGGAAUGGAAAGAAGAUAGGUGAAAGAAAAGUGGUGCAACAUCAGUCAGUGUUGAAGCUAAGUUCAUUUUGCUACUUUACCUACUCAUGCAUAUGUUGGAAAAUUUACAAAAUGAAAAGCUAAAAGGAGAGAGAGCAUCUUCAGCAUGAAAGACAGCCAUUACCAAAGCAUUUCCUAUCUUUAACAAAAACUGAAGUCUUAGCCUUCAGACUAAGGAUGGUAGGAAGAAAGUAGCAAGGAAGUAUGGGACUGACCUUGCCGUAAGGAGUCACAGACCAGGCUGUCUCUCUUUUGGCCUGCUGCCAUCCGCGUAAGACAUGACUUACUCCUCCGUGCCUUCCACCAUGAUUGUGAGGCUUCCCCAGCCAUGAGGAACUAAUACCCAUCCCAUAGAUGUACUUGGGAUAGACAGCUUCUGGCACUCCUCCCAAGAUCUCUCCCUCCUGGUUACAAAAACCUGAGACUUCCAUUUUGCUGGAAACUUCUUUUCCUCUUGCACACUCACUCUGCGACUCUGUGUGGAGAGCUCCAUGUGACAAGGGAGGUCUGCAGCCUAAGCAACUGAGACCUCAGCCCAACAGCCCUCAAAGAACUGGAUCUUCAAACAACCACAUGAGUGACCUAGAAGCAAAUCUGUCACCAGUGCUCUUGAGACGGGCUGAAGUAUUUAAUCACCGGCACAAAAUGUCCCAGUGUUCUGUUCUCCUGCUGUGGAAAUUUUAGAGAAAAGAUCAUGAUCUAAGAGUCUACAAGACCAGAGCAGCCUGAAUUGCUGAGCUGCCUGGUGGAGAAUAGCAGCAUUGGGUGGUUCCCAGGAUUCUUAAAAGGACUUUACAAAGGCCUGGCCUAAUCACUUAAGAGCUCUUAAGGAGUGAAUGGGCUCUUCCUGAAAAAAGAGCUUCUGCUAACCCUGAAAAGCAAGCAACAACCCUGUGAACUGCUAUGGAGAGAGAUGGCCUCUAACAGCUGAGGACCUCAGUCCUACAACCACAAGAAACUGAUUUCUGCCAACAACAUGAAUGAACUUGGAAAAGGCCCCUGAGCUCCAGAUGAGAACACCCAGGUCAACUCAGGUCAUGAGCAGAGAACCCUGUUAUAUUCUCCUUGGCUUGUGAUCCAUAAACAAUGAGAUUAU